rnacentral:rRNA from 1 species
UGGGGAAUCUUGCGCAAUGGGGGAAACCCUGACGCAGCGACGCCGCGUGGGUGAUGAAGGCCUUCGGGUCGUAAAGCCCUGUCGGAGGGGAAGAAGGAUGGGCGUUCAAAUAGGGCGUUGAUCUGACGGUACCCUCAAAGGAAGCACCGGCUAACUCCGUGCCAGCAGCCGCGGUAAUACGGAGGGUGCAAGCGUUGCUCGGAAUCACUGGGCGUAAAGGGCGUGUAGGCGGUUUCGUAUGUCUGACGUGAAAGCCCCGGGCUCACCCCGGGAAGUGCGUUGGAAACUGCGAGACUAGAGUCCCGGAGAGGAAGGUGGAAUUCCAGGUGUAGCGGUGAAAUGCGUAGAUAUCUGGAAGAACACCGGUGGCGAAGGCGGCCUUCUGGACGGUGACUGACGCUGAGACGCGAAAGCGUGGGGAGCAA